GGACACGCUGGCGGCGUGCUUAACACAUGCAAGUCGAACGGUGACGAGGAGCUUGCUCCUCUGAUCAGUGGCGAACGGGUGAGUAACACGUGAGCAACCUGCCCCAGACUCUGGGAUAACAGUUGGAAACAGCUGCUAAUACCGGAUACGAGACGGAGAGGCAUCUCUACCGUCUGGAAAGUUUUUCGGUCUGGGAUGGACUCGCGGCCUAUCAGCUAGUUGGUGAGGUAAUGGCUCACCAAGGCGACGACGGGUAGCCGGCCUGAGAGGGCGAACGGCCACACUGGGACUGAGACACGGUCCAGACUCCUACGGGAGGCAGCAGUGGGGAAUUUUGGACAAUGGGCGAAAGCCUGAUCCAGCCAUGCCGCGUGCAGGAAGAAGGCCUUCGGGUUGUAAACCGCUUUAGUCUAGGAAAAAGGGGUGCGAGGUUAAUACCCUCGUGCUUUGAUGGUACUGGAAGAAUAAGCACCGGCUAACUACGUG
rnacentral:rRNA from 1 species